rnacentral:rRNA from 1 species
CCUCCCGAGUGCUUGCACUCAAUUGGAAAGAGGAGUGGCGGACGGGUGAGUAACACGUGGGUAACCUACCCAUCAGAGGGGGAUAACACUUGGAAACAGGUGCUAAUACCGCAUAACAGUUUAUGCCGCAUGGCAUAAGAGUGAAAGGCGCUUUCGGGUGUCGCUGAUGGAUGGACCCGCGGUGCAUUAGCUAGUUGGUGAGGUAACGGCUCACCAAGGCCACGAUGCAUAGCCGACCUGAGAGGGUGAUCGGCCACACUGGGACUGAGACACGGCCCAGACUCCUACGGGAGGCAGCAGUAGGGAAUCUUCGGCAAUGGACGAAAGUCUGACCGAGCAACGCCGCGUGAGUGAAGAAGGUUUUCGGAUCGUAAAACUCUGUUGUUAGAGAAGAACAAGGACGUUAGUAACUGAACGUCCCCUGACGGUAUCUAACCAGAAAGCCACGGCUAACUACGUGCCAGCAGCCGCGGUAAUACGUAGGUGGCAAGCGUUGUCCGGAUUUAUU